CCCAGAGGUAUUGAUAGGUGAAUUUCUCAGGUACGGCUGCCGUACUUUCACUUACACCGACCUGCGCAGAUGCGCAGGUUUUUUUU
rnacentral:sRNA from 2 species